rnacentral:rRNA from 1 species
CACGUAGGAGGCGAGCGUUGUCCGGAAUCAUUGGGCGUAAAGAGCGCGCAGGCGGCUUGGCAAGUCGGGUGUGAAAUCCCGGGGCUCAACCCCGGGACUGCAUUCGAUACUGUCAGGCUAGAGGUAGGUAGGGGAGAUCGGAAUUCCUGGUGUAGCGGUGAAAUGCGCAGAUAUCAGGAGGAACACCGGUGGCGAAGGCGGCAUCCUGGACCGGUAUUGACGCUGAGGCGCGAAAGCUAGGGGAGCAAACGGG